UACGUAGGGUGCAAGCGUUAAUCGGAAUUACUGGGCGUAAAGCGUGCGCAGGCGGUCCUGCAAGACAGAUGUGAAAUCCCCGGGCUCAACCUGGGAACUGCAUUUGUGACUGCAGGGCUGGAGUGCGGCAGAGGGGGAUGGAAUUCCGCGUGUAGCAGUGAAAUGCGUAGAUAUGCGGAGGAACACCGAUGGCGAAGGCAAUCCCCUGGGCCUGCACUGACGCUCAUGCACGAAAGCGUGGGGAGCAAACAGG
rnacentral:rRNA from 1 species